AUGUACUCCAUAGCAUGGGCCAUUGUGGAGAAGGAGACUUACCCGUCAUGGUUUUGGUUCCUUGCAAAGCUCAAUAAAGAUUUGAAGAUCAAGAAUGAGGGUGAUGGCUGGGUGUUUAUGUCGGAUCAACAGAAGGGCCUGAUUGGUGCUAUAGAGGAUAUUUUCCCUAAGUCAGAGCAUAGGAUGUGUGCAAGGCACAUAUAUGCAAACAGGAGAAAAAAGCACCCAGAUCAUGAUCUACAGAAGAGGUUUUGGAGGUGUGCUAAGUCUUCGAACAGAUCUAUAUUCAACUAUAAUAGAGCAAGACUUGCACAGUUUACUGUUGAAGGUGCAAAGGACAUGAUGAAUACUGCUCCAGAGCAUUGGUGUAGGGCAUACAUGAAGCUAGGCUCCAACUACGACUCAGUGGAUAAUAACAUGUGUGAGUCCUUUAAUAGGACUUUCUGGGCUAACUAG
rnacentral:rRNA from 1 species